AGAGGAAAUUGUGGAGUUACUGCUAAUAACUUUUUGUCGGUUUGUUUCGACUUCUUCUU
rnacentral:tRNA from 1 species